rnacentral:rRNA from 1 species
GACGAACGCUGGCGGCGUGCUUAACACAUGCAAGUCGAACGGAAAGGCCCUGCUUUUGUGGGGUGCUCGAGUGGCGAACGGGUGAGUAACACGUGAGUAACCUGCCCUUGACUUUGGGAUAACUUCAGGAAACUGGGGCUAAUACCGGAUAGGAGCUCCUGCUGCAUGGUGGGGGUUGGAAAGUUUCGGCGGUUGGGGAUGGACUCGCGGCUUAUCAGCUUGUUGGUGGGGUAGUGGCUUACCAAGGCUUUGACGGGUAGCCGGCCUGAGAGGGUGACCGGCCACAUUGGGACUGAGAUACGGCCCAGACUCCGACGGGAGGCAGCCGUGGGGAAUAUUGCACAAUGGGCGGAAGCCUGAUGCGGCAACGCCGCGUGCGGGAUGACGGCUUUCGGUUUGUAAACCGCUUUCGCCUGUGACGAAGCGUGAGUGACGGUAAUGGGUAAAGAAGCACCGGCUAACUACGUGCCAGCAGCCGCCGUAAUAC